rnacentral:rRNA from 1 species
GAUGAACGCUGGCGGCGUGCCUAAUACAUGCAAGUCGAGCGAACAGACGAGGAGCUUGCUCCUCUGACGUUAGCGGCGGACGGGUGAGUAACACGUGGAUAACCUACCUAUAAGACUGGGAUAACUUCGGGAAACCGGAGCUAAUACCGGAUAAUAUAUUGAACCUCAUGGUUCAAUAGUGAAAGACGGUUUUGCUGUCACUUAUAGAUGGAUCCGCGCCGCAUUAGCUAGUUGGUAAGGUAACGGCUUACCAAGGCAACGAUGCGUAGCCGACCUGAGAGGGUGAUCGGCCACACUGGAACUGAGACACGGUCCAGACUCCUACGGGAGGCAGCAGUAGGGAAUCUUCCGCAAUGGGCGAAAGCCUGACGGAGCAACGCCGCGUGAGUGAGGAAGGUCUUCGGAUCGUAAAACUCUGUUAUUAGGGAAGAACAAAUGUGUAAGUAACUAUGCACGUCUUGACGGUACCUAAUCAGAAAGCCACGGCUAACUACGUG